GACGAACGCUGGCGGCGUGCCUAACACAUGCAAGUAGAACGCUGAAGGAGGAGCUUGCUCUUCUGGAUGAGUUGCGAACGGGUGAGUAACGCGUAGGUAACCUGCCUGGUAGCGGGGGAUAACUAUUGGAAACGAUAGCUAAUACCGCAUAACAGUAGAUGUUGCAUGACAUUUACUUAAAAGGUGCAAUUGCAUCACUACCAGAUGGACCUGCGUUGUAUUAGCUAGUUGGUGGGGUAACGGCUCACCAAGGCGACGAUACAUAGCCGACCUGAGAGGGUGAUCGGCCACACUGGGACUGAGACACGGCCCAGACUCCUACGGGAGGCAGCAGUAGGGAAUCUUCGGCAAUGGACGGAAGUCUGACCGAGCAACGCCGCGUGAGUGAAGAAGGUUUUCGGAUCGUAAAGCUCUGUUGUAAGAGAAGAACGAGUGUGAGAGUGGAAAGUUCACACUGUGACGGUAUCUUACCAGAAAGGGACGGCUAACUACGUG
rnacentral:rRNA from 1 species